rnacentral:rRNA from 1 species
CCUACGGGUGGCAGCAGUGAGGAAUAUUGGUCAAUGGCCGCGAGCCUGAACCAGCCAAGUAGCGUGAAGGAUGACUGCCCUACGGGUUGUAAACUUCUUUUAUAGAGGAGUAAAGUGAGGCACGUGUGCCUUUUUGUGUGUACUUUAUGAAUAAGGAUCGGCUAACUCCGUGCCAGCAGCCGCGGUAAUACGGAGGAUCCGAGCGUUAUCCGGAUUUAUUGGGUUUAAAGGGAGCGUAGAUGGGUUGUUAAGUCAGUGGUGAAAGUUUGCGGCUCAACCGCAAAAUUGCAAUUGAUACUGGUAGUGUUGAGUACAGGUGAGGUAGGCGGAAUUCGUGGUGUAGCGGUGAAAUGCUUAGAUAUCACGAAGAACUCCGAUUGCGAAGGCAGCAUACCAAAGUGCAACUGACAUUGAUGCUCGAAAGCGUGGCUAUCAAACAGGAUUAGAUACCCGGGUAGUC